rnacentral:rRNA from 1 species
AACCUCCACAAUGUACGAGAGUGCGAUGGGGGGAUCCCAAGUGCUAUUCUUAACGGGAUAGCUUUUCUUAAGUGUAAAAAGCUUUUGGAAUAAGAGCUGGGCAAGACCGGUGCCAGCCGCCGCGGUAACACCGGCAGCUCUAGUGGUAGCUGUUUUUAUUGGGCCUAAAGCGUUCGUAGCCGGUUUGAUAAGUCUCUGGUGAAAUCCUGUAGCUUAACUGUGGGAAUUGCUGGUGAUACUGUUGAACUUGAGGUCGGGAGAGGUUAGCGGUACUCCCAGGGUAGAGGUGAAAUUCUGUAAUCCUGGGAGGACCACCUGUGGCGAAGGCGGCUAACUGGAACGAACCUGACGGUGAGGGACGAAAGCUAGGGGCGCGAACCGGAUUAGAUACCCGGGUAGUCCUAGCCGUAAACGAUGCGGACUUGGUGUUGGGGUGGCUUUGAGCUGUUUCGGUGCCGUAGGGAAGCUGUUAAGUCCGCCGCCUGGGAAGUACGGUCGCAAGACUGAAACUUAAAGGAAUU